GUGAGGAAUUUUCCGCAAUGGGCGAAAGCCUGACGGAGCAAUGCCGCGUGAAGGAUGAAGGCCUAUGGGUUGUAAACUUCUUUUCUCAGAAAAGAAUUAUGACGGUAUCUGAGGAAUAAGCAUCGGCUAACUCUGUGCCAGCAGCCGCGGUAAGACAGAGGAUGCAAGCGUUAUCCGGAAUGAUUGGGCGUAAAGCGUCUGUAGGUUGUUUAAAAAGUAUUCUGUCAAAGAUUAGGGCUUAACCCUAGAUAGGCAGAAUAAACUUUUAAGCUAGAGUUUGGUAGAGGCAGAGAGAAUUCCCGGUGGAGCGGUGAAAUGCGUAGAUAUCGGGAGGAACACCAAAGGCGAAGGCACUCUGCUGGGCCAAUACUAACACUGAGAGACGAAAGCGAGGGGAGCAAAUGGGAUUAGAAACCCUUGUAGUCC
rnacentral:rRNA from 1 species